UACGGGGGGGGUAAGCGUUGUUCGGAAUUACUGGGCGUAAAGGGCUCGUAGGCGGCCAACUAAGUCAGACGUGAAAUCCCUCAGCUUAACUGGGGAACUGCGUCUGAUACUGGAUGGCUUGAGUGUGGGAGAGGGAUGCGGAAUUCCAGGUGUAGCGGUGAAAUGCGUAGAUAUCUGGAGGAACACCGGUGGCGAAGGCGGCAUCCUGGACCAUUACUGACACUGAAAAGCGAAAGCCAGGGGAGCAAACGGG
rnacentral:rRNA from 1 species